rnacentral:lncRNA from 1 species
GGCUAGUAGUUUUCUCCAGGCAUUCAAGCUUCCUCCAUCAAUAACAACUGGCCCCGAUAAAAUAGCCCAAUAGCGGUGGUAAUAAAAGUGGUGUUAAAACACAAAUAAUCAAAGUCAAGUUGUACCUCCAGUACUGAAUCAAGUUUUCUGACCAAAAGGCCAGAUCUUUAUAUAAUGGAUAGAAAGAAAUAUCUUCUAAUCCAUCACCCAAUAUUAGAGGUAGCAGCCCUGUACAUCUAACAUUAACAGAACUAAAGAGUUUCCAUUCAAAAUA